AAAAACCCUAAUCGGAUGCUCCUAUUUUCUCCCACACCACUAUCGCACAAGCAGUGAAGCAACAUCCAUUCUCCAACCUCACAACACCCACCGUCUCCUCCAUCUCUCUACCCUCGCAAUAAUUUUCUAGCGACCAACCCCCACUACGAUCCAUCUCUACCUCUCUUCUCUAUCCUAACUUACUAUCCAUACCUGACACCACUCAUCGUCAUAGAUAACGUAAUCACCGAUGCCUCCAUCUCCGCCAUCAUCCAGUGGCAAAGCGUCAACGGCCAUCAUGCUUGGAAUCUAGCAUCAGUGACCUAACUCAUUCAACCGACCCUAAAAAGGCCCUUUUGUUCUAUGCUAAUCUCACUAAGGUAAAUUUCAAGAAUAUAUGCUUUUUUUGUUUGAUUAUUCCUUAUCAAUGUGUAUAACUAUUUCUUGCAUUUUGCAUUCACGUCACAUCCUUGCCCAACUCAAUGGAGUCUUGAUGCACCAUUGUUCUUCCUACGCUACCACAGCCACACUCCUCUUCUCUACACAAACAGACACACAUUGUUGAUAGACCCACCUCCAUUUCUUCUGACUGAUUAUUCUUUGGUAUUAUAUUCUAUUCUCUCUAUGUGUGUGUGUUAUGUUUUAUUAGUUUUAGAUCAUAGAUCAACAUUUUGGGUUUUUGCUCUUAACUAGGUUUAUGCAGGUCAAAUGAGUAAAAAAGAUUACUAAACAUACUGAUUGCAUAAGAAAUUGGGUAUGUCUAUAUGUUUGACAAAUUGGUUACCUGAAUUAGAGUUUUUUUUUUCAAUACUAUGCUCUUAAAUAGAUUGUUCUACUUAAAAUGUUAGGUUAUCAGUUAAUUAUAGUGAAGGCUGAAAAUUACAUGAGGUAAUUUCUAAAUCAGGUAAUUUAUUUGAGGUUUUUUUUCCAAUACCAUGCUCUUAAAUAUAUUAUUCUACUUAAAAUUUUAGGUUACCAACUAAUUAUAGUGAAGGCUGAAAAUUACAUGAGUUGAUUUCCAAAUCAGGUAAUUUCCAACAGCAUGCUCUUAAAAUAGAUUUAUGUACAUAACUUUCUAGGCUAAAUGCAAAAACAGUAACAUUGUCACCAUUUUAUUUUAUAUCAAAUGUAGAUGUAGGUGAUGGAAUCAAUUUGGAGUUCUGGAGAGGUGUAUCAAGCCUUGAAAAGCUUGAAUCUUAAGAUAAAUGAAGUUAGUCUUCACUGUUCAGGUUAAUUUAUAUGUAUUUACUUGCUAAUAUUACUUGACUUACAUAUUGUAUUUUUUAUUUUAAUUUUGACCGGUUUUUUCAAUUCUGUGCAUAUAUCUUUGUGCCUUAUAUCUUGCAUUUGUUUUCUUAGUUAUUUUCUUUAUAAGUUGUCAGCAUUUAUGGUGCAUCAAUAUUGCAAAACAUUUUCUCAAUUGGGUAUAACCAAUUUUAUAUACAUUUUCUAAUUAGGGUUUAUUAAAAAAAUCAUCUUCUAACAUGGUCUAAACUGUAUUUUCACUUUUCUUCCUCAAAGACCGGUGGAUAUAGCCAAGACAUGAUCUCUAUAGUGAGCUUUUCUUUAUCAAAGAUCAAUAAAGGUAUGUGAAUUUGAUGGUCAUGAAAGUAAAUUGUGAAUCUUGAGUUUGAGUAUUAAUGAAAUGCAUUUAUUUUUGUUUUUUCAUGCACAUAUAUGCUUGGAUAGGUGUAUUAGGCCCCAUAUGAUCCUAAAAAGCUUUAAGCUUAAGAGAAAUCAAGUUAGCCUUGACUGUUCACAUGAAAAUAUGCAAAUUCUGCCACAAAUGUUGAAUAACUACAAAGGUGAGUAAUGAGGGCAGAUCGUCUUUGAGUGAAAAAGCGCAUGGAAAUACCACAUUGAGGGACAAGGAUUCAACCUAACCUGGUUAGGAACAACAUACAUUUUGGAGACUCAUAUGUACAAGUAUAAUUAGCUUGUGAUACAAUAAGUAAAUUCAUGCUAAUCUUCCUACAAUUAAGUGAUUUUAAAACCAUUAUUUUUGUUGUGGGGGUUAUUUUUUUCGGUUUGACGUUACGUAUGAUAUAACCAAAGUGAGUACAGUAAGAUUCUAGAAGGUAGCUUCCCUUUGUAACAAUAUACAUUUUUGCAGUCAAUUCAUAAGUUGACCUUUUUCUUUUGUUCUUUUGAUUUUUUACUUCAUGAGCAGGAUUUGUCAUGGUAAUUAAGUGUACACAUAAUUAUAUGCAUCUUGCCAUUCAAAGUCGUUGAUCCCAGGUUUAACUCUAUGGAUCCCAAUGGUUGCAAUUUCCUUACUCCAGGUAUGCCCAGUUUUUUUUUUUAAAAAAAAACUUUCUUUUUUAGGCAUUUGGUUUUCAAAAAUGAAAUCUCUAAGGGUAUUUUUGGAAAUUUCUUUGUUUCCUUUUGGUUUGCUAUGCGAAAUACAUAAAAAAAUAACAAGUUAAAACCAUCUUUUUUGUAUUUAUUAAUUAUGUGUAUAUCAAUUAACAAGUUAAAACCAUCUAUUGAUGUUUGUAUUGACCCACCUCCACCAUCCAUGAACCCAAAUUUUUGAUAUGUUUCU
rnacentral:lncRNA from 1 species